rnacentral:rRNA from 1 species
GGGCGUAGGAAAUUUGAGAGGAGCUGUCCUUAGUACGAGAGGACCGGGAUGGACGCACCGCUGGUGUACCAGUUGUUCUGCCAAGGGCAUAGCUGGGUAGCUAUGUGCGGAAGGGAUAAGUGCUGAAAGCAUCUAAGCAUGAAGCCCCCCUCAAGAUGAGAUUUCCCAUAGCGUAAGCUAGUAAGAUCCCUGAAAGAUGAUCAGGUUGAUAGGUUCGAGGUGGAAGCAUGGUGACAUGUGGAGCUGACGAAUACUAAUAGAUCGAGGACUUAACCAUAUAA